rfam:Burkholderiales bacterium RIFOXYD12_FTLL_59_19 rifoxyd3_full_scaffold_1052, whole genome shotgun sequence.
CUGAGAACCGGGAAACUGGUUUUGACCGCAGGGCAGAAGUCAGCAGAAGGCAUAGUAGGUGCGGCCCGCACCGAAGGCC